rnacentral:rRNA from 1 species
UACGUAGGGUGCGAGCGUUGUCCGGAUUUAUUGGGCGUAAAGAGCUCGUAGGCGGUCUGUCGCGUCUGCUGUGAAAACUCAGGGCUUAACCCUGAGCUUGCAGUGGGUACGGGCAGACUAGAGUGCGGUAGGGGAGACUGGAAUUCCUGGUGUAGCGGUGAAAUGCGCAGAUAUCAGGAGGAACACCGGUGGCGAAGGCGGGUCUCUGGGCCGUAACUGACGCUGAGGAGCGAAAGCGUGGGGAGCGAACAGG